UGCAGUCGAGCGGAACGAUCCUAGCUUGCUAGGAGGCGUCGAGCGGCGGACGGGUGAGUAAUGCAUAGGAAUCUGCCCGGUAGUGGGGGAUAACUUGAGGAAACUCAAGCUAAUACCGCAUACGCCCUACGGGGGAAAGCAGGGGCUCUUCGGACCUUGCGCUAUCGGAUGAGCUUAUGUCGGAUUAGCUGGUUGGUGAGGUAACGGCUCACCAAGGCGACGAUCCGUAGCUGGUCUGAGAGGAUGAUCAGCCACAUCGGGACUGAGACACGGCCCGAACUCCUACGGGAGGCAGCAGUGGGGAAUAUUGGACAAUGGGGGCAACCCUGAUCCAGCCAUGCCGCGUGUGUGAAGAAGGCCCUCGGGUUGUAAAGCACUUUCAGCGAGGAAGAAUGCUUGUCGGUUAAUACCCGGCAAGGGAGACAUCACUCGCAGAAGAAGCACCGGCUAACUCCGUGCCAGCAGCCGCGGUAAUACGGAGGGUGCGAGCGUUAAUCGGAAUUACUGGGCGUAAAGCGUGCGUAGGCGGCUUGAUAAGCCGGUUGUGAAAGCCCCGGGCUCAACCUGGGAACGGCAUCCGGAACUGUUAGGCUAGAGUGCAGGAGAGGAAGGUAGAAUUCCCGGUGUAGCGGUGAAAUGCGUAGAGAUCGGGAGGAAUACCAGUGGCGAAGGCGGCCUUCUGGACUGACACUGACGCUGAGGUACGAAAGCGUGGGUAGCAAACAGGAUUAGAUACCCUGGUAGUUCCACGCCGUAAAACGAUGUCGACUAGCCGUUGGGGUCCUCGAGACCUUUGUGGGCGCAGUUAACGCACUAAGUCGACCGCCUGGGGGGAGUACGGCCCGCAAGGUUAAAACUCAAAUGAAUUGACGGGGGCCCGCACAAGCGGUGGAGCAUGUGGUUUAAUUCGAUGCAACGCGAAGAACCUUA
rnacentral:rRNA from 1 species